rnacentral:lncRNA from 1 species
GAAGCCAUCAAUCACAGCUUUCUCUGUAACUGCACUGCGCCUCCAUGCUCACCCUGCCCUACUCAAACAGGAAUUCAUUUCUGCACCCCCUACCUGUCUUUGACUUUCCCACAACCGCAAAAUACUCCAUCCAUUGUGGCCAGUGGUGAGAAGCUCAACAACACUGUGACACAGAUCCUGCCAGUUUUGCCAAGGAAAUGUUUGUGCUGCAAAUAUCCCACGGAUAUGAGAAAGUUAUUUAAGUGAUUUUAAAUCUCAAUGUCUCCAUUAAUAAAAUGAAGAUAAGAUGUUGGGCUUGAUCCAAGGCCCUGAUGAUGCAAAGACAUAUUAAGGACCCAGGCUUGGUCUCUAGGCUGUGGUGCUCCUGGGAGGUGAUGAAGCCUUUAAGAGAUUGAACUCAGGACCUUGAACUUGCAAGGCAGGCAUCGGCACCACUGAACUAAAUCCCCAGCUGGCCCCCCAUUUCCUUUCAAUUUUAUCUUUUAUAUUAAAUGAG